rnacentral:snoRNA from 1 species
GGGCCCCCGUGAUGUGCAGCACUGGGCUCUGAUGUUCCGUGAGGACAUGGUGCCCCCCAGGACCUUUGACACCCCGGGGUCUGAGGGGCCC